rnacentral:lncRNA from 1 species
AUUUUUUUUAUUUUUUCUUCGGCUAAAUUAUAGAAAAUUUUUUAUAAUACUCCCUUUUUUUUAUUUUCUUUCUUCUGAUUUUUAAAAAUUUAUAUUUACCCUUUUAAAAUUUUAGAAAUAUUUUUAAAAAUAUGGCGUUAAUGAAGAGGGCAAUAGAGCAUGGCUACAGUGCUAUUAGGAGCACAACAGUUUUUGUGCUUCUAACUUCGUAACCAUCUAUCAAUUUUGAUGGAUGGUUAGGAAGCGAGGGAGAAGAAAAACUGAGGAGAAAUUGGGUGUCUCAAUUCUUUUCUUUUUAAACACCACGAACAUACUAGGCUAAUAACUUGGUAGCACCAAGUUAUUAGUCCAGUAGGGUAUUUAAAAUUUUGUGUAUAUAAGUUAAUGAAAUAUUAACGGAGGAGCUGACGAAAAGAGAAAAAUGAAACCACAUGAAACUAACUUGAUACACUUUAAAGCAUAGGGUACUAAAGUGAAAAAGUGCGAAACCACGGGAGUGGUAUUUGAAGUUUACCAUACAUUUUUUAUUAUUUAAUUUUAUAAUAAAAUUACAAGUAUUAAAACAGAGAUUCUACAUUUUCCCCUCCCU